UGAGACGUUGACCCACACGGAAAAAGUCGACGGUUGAGAUUUCUUCACCUAUGAAUUCGCCAGACAACAUUCAACCACCAUCUAAAGCUCAAACUCAAUUCCAUUCUCUCGCUUUCCGAGCUUUGUCGUCCUUUAAUUCAUCGCAACAGAAGAAAACCACCUGAGGGAAGGGAAGCGAUACGGCGGCGCCUCCAGACUCCGACGAUUAAUAGCACAAGCUUUAAAAAAGGAAAAUGUUCCUGCGAUUGGUCUCGCGGCCAUUGUUGGCGAAGUUCAAAGAGACGACGGGGAUCGUCGGGUUAGACGUGGUACCAAACGCCAGGGAAGUCCUUAUCGGGCUCUACAACAAGACCUUGAAGGAGAUCCAGGCCGUACCGGAAGACGAAGGAUACCGUAAGGCCGUGGAGAGCUUCACACGCCACCGUCUGAAGGUAUGCCAAGAGGAAGAAGACUGGGAAAUGAUCGAGAAGCGCCUCGGAUGCGGCCAAGUCGAGGAGCUUAUCGAGGAAGCGCGUGACGAGCUCACUCUUGUCGGGAAAAUGAUCGAGUGGGUUCCUUGGGGUGUUCCCGAUGACUACGGAUGCGAGAUUAUUGAAAAUGAUGCUCCAAUUCCCAAACACGUACCUCAACACCGUCCCGGUCCUCUACCAGAGGAGUUCUACAAGACGCUCGAAGCUGUUUCCAAGAAGGAUGAGCCUAAAAUCACCUCUGGGGAGCCACAGAUAAAGGAGUAAUAGCAUGCUGAAAAGCAUUUGGCUGGAGACAAUUAGGUUUUAAGACUCGAGGCUCGGAGUAAUGUUUUGUAGAUCGAAGUGUUGGCUGUAAAUGGCAUUGUUUGUAUGACUUCCAUAGCUUCCUCUAGGCGGCCACCUUGACCAAGUAUAUCGACCAAGUGAACAUAAUGGUCUAAUUGUGGCUCUAUGUUGUAUAUUUCUCUCAUGGAUUGAAAAUGCUCAAGGCCGAGAUCGGUUAAUUUACCGUUACUACAAGCAGACAGUAUGGACAAGAAUGUUAUAGCGUCCGGUUUAACUCCGGAUAGUUUCAUGUCAUCGAAGGUAGAGAGAGCGGAGGGAAUGUACCCGUUUGAUGUCAAUCCAGAUAUCAACCCGUUCCAUGAAAAAAUAUCUGGCAUUCCAAUCUCCCCGAAAGCUCUUUGUGCAUCGUGUAUGCAUCCGCAUUUUCCGUACAAGUUGACUAGCCCGUUUAAUACUGAAAACCACUUGCACAAACCUGAUUUUACGGAAUGACAGUGAAGUUGCUUUCCGGUCAUUAUUGUGCCCAAAUCGGCUGAUGCAGAUAGGAAACUGGCUGUACUGAAUUCAUCAAUCUUGAUAUCAUCAUUUUUCAUAUCA